rnacentral:rRNA from 1 species
ACAGAGGUGCCGAGCGUUAGGCGGAAUCACUGGGCUUAAAGCGUGUGUAGGCGGGUUCUUAAGUAUCUUGUGAAAUCCCACGGCUCAACCGUGGAACUGCUGGGUAUACUGGGAAUCUUGAGCCACUUAGGGGCAACCGGAACAAAUGGUGGAGCGGUGAAAUGCGUAGAUAUCAUUUGGAACGCCAAUGGUGAAAACAGGUUGCUGGGAGUGUGCUGACGCUGAGACACGAAAGCCAGGGGAGCGAACGGGA